GAUGAACGCUGGCGGCGUGCCUAAUACAUGCAAGUCGAGCGAACAGACGAGGAGCUUGCUCCUCUGACGUUAGCGGCGGACGGGCGAGUAACACGUGGAUAACCUACCUAUAAGACUGGGAUAACUUCGGGAAACCGGAGCUAAUACCGGAUAAUAUAUUGAACGGCAUGGUUCAAUAGUGAAAGACGGUUUUGCUGUCACUUAUAGAUGGAUCCGCGCCGCAUUAGCUAGUUGGUAAGGUAACGGCUUACCAAGGCAACGAUGCGUAGCCGACCUGAGAGGGUGAGCGGCCACACUGGAACUGAGACACGGUCCAGACUCCUACGGGAGGCAGCAGUAGGGAAUCUUCCGCAAUGGGCGAAAGCCUGACGGAGCAACGCCGCGUGAGUGAUGAAGGUCUUCGGAUCGUAAAACUCUGUUAUUAGGGAAGAACAAAUGUGUAAGUAACUAUGCACGUCUUGACGGUACCUAAUCAGAAAGCCACGGCUAACUACGUG
rnacentral:rRNA from 1 species